rnacentral:rRNA from 1 species
AACAACUCACCUGCCGAAUGAAUUAGCCCUGAAAAUGGAUGACGCUCAAGCGGACAGCCGACACCACACCGUUUGGGUAAGACACGGCCCAAAAUGAGUAGGAGGGCGUGGCGGUCUUAUGGUUAGGAAGGUGAGAGCGCAAGCUCCACUGAAACGGCCGCUAGUGCAGAUCUUGGUGGUAGUAGCAAAUAUUCAAGCGGGAUCCUUGAAGGGCGAAGCGGGGAAGGGUUCCACGCAAACAUUGAUUGGGCGUGGGUGAGUCGUACCUAAGCCAGCUGGUAAUUGUUGAUCAAAACUGGCGAAAGGGAAGCGGGUUAAAAUUCUCGCACACGGAUGUGGAGGCGGUGACGCAAACCGAGUCGAAGACGUCGGUGAUAGCGCUGGGCAGAGUUUUCUUUUCUGUUUGACCUGCGAGACGCAUUGUGUGGAAUCCGAUUAUCGGGAGAAACACAUGCCGAGGGGCAGAGCGCCGGGAUUGUCCGGCGUCCAGCACGCUAUUGACGACCCUUGAAAAUUCGACUGCGAUAAGCCAGUGCACAAUUUCGGUUGUGUUUGAAAUUUCACGCCGUGGCGUACCGAUAACCGCAUCAGGUCCCCAAGGUGAACAGCCUCUGCUCAAUAUGAACAAU